CCUACGGGAGGCAGCAGUGGGGAAUAUUGCACAAUGGGGGAAACCCUGAUGCAGCGACGCCGCGUGAGUGAAGAAGUAUUUCGGUACGUAAAGCUCUAUCAGCCGGGAAGAAAAUGACGGUACCUGACUAAGAAGCCCCGGCUAACUACGUGCCAGCAGCCGCGGUAAUACGUAGGGGGCAAGCGUUAUCCGGAUUUACUGGGUGUAAAGGGAGCGUAGACGGCAGCGCAAGUCUGGAGUGAAAUCCCAUGGCUUAACCAUGGAACUGCUUUGGAAACUGUGCAGCUAGAGUGCAGGAGAGGUAAGCGGAAUUCCUAGUGUAGCGGUGAAAUGCGUAGAUAUUAGGAGGAACACCAGUGGCGAAGGCGGCUUACUGGACUGUAACUGACGUUGAGGCUCGAAAGCGUGGGGAGCAAACAGGAUUAGAUACCCCUGUAGUC
rnacentral:rRNA from 1 species